rnacentral:tRNA from 1 species
UCCCUGGAGGACUAGUGGUUAGGCCUUGGAGCUCUCACCGGUGCCGCCUGGGUUCAACUCCCAGUCAGGGAA